GACGAACGCUGGCGGCGUGCUUAACACAUGCAAGUCGAACGGAAAGGCCCUGCUUUUGUGGGGUGCUCGAGUGGCGAACGGGUGAGUAACACGUGAGUAACCUGCCCUUGACUUUGGGAUAACUUCAGGAAACUGGGGCUAAUACCGGAUAGGAGCUCCUGCUGCACGGUGGGGGUUGGUAAGAUUCGGCGGUUGGGGCUGGAAUCGAGGCUUAUCAGCUUGUUGGUGGGGUAGUGGCUUACCAAGGCUUUGACGGGUAGCCGGCCUGAGAGGGGGACCGGCCACAUUGGGACUGAGAUACGGCCCAGACUCCUACGGGAGGCAGCGGUGGGGAGUAUUGCACAAUGGGCGGAAGCCUGAUGCAGCAACGCCGCGUGCGGGAUGACGUCCUUCGGGUUGUAAACCGCUGUCGCCUGUGACGAAGCGUGAGUGACGGUAAUGGGUAAAGAAGCACCGGCUAACUACGUG
rnacentral:rRNA from 1 species